UGUCAGUGUUGCAACAGGGUGGGGGCGACUGCAGUAGAAAUAGCCCAGACUGUGGAAACUGUUUCCCACAAAACCACCAUGGCCCGAGCUCUUGGGUGGCUGCUGCUGCUGCUCUUCUGUUCCUGUGCUCAGAGUUUUCUCUGGAGACAGACUCGUGGUGCCUCAUCGAGCAAAGAGAAGCUCCCUGCUGAGGGCUGGUUCUGGCAAAAGUUGGACCAUUUUAGCAAAAAUGAUUCACGUUUAUGGCGACAGAAGCAGGGGAGCAAGUCUAUUUCAUAAUGAGAUAUUUCAUUAAUGAUGCCUUCUACAAACCUGGAGGCCCAGUAUUUCUGAUGAUUGAAGGAUCAGAAACUGCCAGUAGAAACUGGAUAUUAAUGAAUACUACCUGGGUUACAUAU